AUACGUAGGUGGCAAGCGUUAUCCGGAAUUAUUGGGUUUAAAGGGUGCGUAGGCGGCCAUUUAAGUCAGCGGUUAAAUCGUGGGGCUCAACCCCAUUCUGCCGUUGAUACUGGGUGGCUUGAUUGCGGUCGAGGUUGGCGGAAUUCGUUGUGCAGCGGUGAAAUGCAUAGAUAUGACGAAGAACACCGAUUGCGUAGGCAGCUGACCAGACCGCAAAUGACGCUCAUGCACGAAAGUGCGGGGAUCGAACAGGAUUAGAUACCCUGGUAGUCCGCACAGUAAACGAUGAAUACUUGUUUUCGGCGAUAUAAUGUCGGAGGCAAAGCGAAAGCGAUAAGUAUUCCACCUGGGGAGUACGCCGGCAACGGUGAAACUCAAAUGAAUUGACGGGG
rnacentral:rRNA from 1 species